rnacentral:sRNA from 20 species
CAAUAACGAUGAUGGUCAAAGCUCAUGGGAAUUGUAAGUCUUUUUGGCUUACAGCUUUCUCAGGUUU